CAACAGGGAUUGCCUCAGUAACGGCGAGUGAAGCGGCAAAAGCUCAAAUUUGAAAUCUGGCACCUUCGGUGUCCGAGUUGUAAUUUGAAGAAGGUAACUUUGGAGUUGGCUCUUGUCUAUGUUCCUUGGAACAGGACGUCACAGAGGGUGAGAAUCCCGUGCGAUGAGAUGCCCAAUUCUAUGUAAAGUGCUUUCGAAGAGUCGAGUUGUUUGGGAAUGCAGCUCUAAGUGGGUGGUAAAUUCCAUCUAAAGCUAAAUAUUGGCGAGAGACCGAUAGCGAACAAGUACAGUGAUGGAAAGAUGAAAAGAACUUUGAAAAGAGAGUGAAAAAGUACGUGAAAUUGUUGAAAGGGAAGGGCUUGAGAUCAGACUUGGUAUUUUGCAAGCCUUACCUUCGUGGUGGGGUCCCCUGCAGUUUACUGGGCCAGCAUCGGUUUGGAUGGUGGGAUAAUGACUUGGGAAUGUGGCUUUGCUUCGGUAAAGUGUUAUAGCCCUUGUUGAUACCGCCUGUCUAGACCGAGGACUGCGUCUUUGACUAGGAUGUUGGCAUAAUGAUCUUAAGUCGCCCGUCUUGAAC
rnacentral:rRNA from 1 species